UUUACUUCUGUGAAAGUGAAAGAAUCUGACACUUUUUUUAGUUUUAUCAGCAUGUACUUCCUUCUCAGAAGUUCAUCUAGACAAAGACACAGAGAGUGAGAUUAAAGACAGCACAACAAGGACUGUUGACUAAAGACAGUAAGCCAUUGCAGUAGAAGAGAUCAGGCCUGGUUGUACACAGCUCUCUGUUCAUGACCAAACACUUCACUGUAUUAAUGGUGCAAGAUGGAUUACUCCAAUCCUGACCAACCGGAUGGAUCUCCACAAAUAAAAAUGGGUGAAACCCAGGUAAAGAUAUCAGACUGUGCAGGACCCAGCAGUUCCUCCAUGAGCAGUGAUGUGUGUACAGAAUCUCCACCAGGAUUAAAUAAUGAAGACUUCUCAUCUACACACAGGGAAACAAACAAAAAGAGAUUGGACUCUCCUGUACCCAGCUGUGUGUCCAUGAAGAGUGAUGAGUCUAUGAUGCUUUUAACAGUGUUUGAUGAGAAGAAAAAAUCUUCACCUGGAUACAGUGAAACCCAAAUAAAGAGAUCAGACUCUCCUGUACCCAGCUGUGUGUCCAUGAAGAGUGAUGAGUCUUUGUUUUUACCACCAAUGUUUAAAGAGAAGAGAGAAUCCUCACCCAGACACAGUGACCUCCAGCGAGGGAGAGACAAAACAGAGCAGAAGAUCAUAAUCACAGACACAGGAUGUAGGUCUGUAACCACUGGACCUCAUCUUCAGGAGAGAUGCAGAUUAAAUCUGAUGAAGACGUUUCAGCAUGUAAAUGAUGUGAUAACAAACCAGAGAAACCCAACACUUCUCAAUGAGAUCUACACAGAGCUCUACAUCACAGAAGGAGACAGUGGGAAAGUCAAUAAUGAACAUGAGGUGAGACAGAUCGAGGCAGCAUCCAGGAGAGCAGCAACAGAGGAAACACCAAUCAGCUGCAGUGACAUCUUUAAACCUUUAUCUGAAGAAGACAAACCCAUCAGGAGCGUUCUGACAAAGGGAGUCGCUGGCAUUGGAAAAACAGUCUCUGUGCAGAAAUUCAUUCUAGACUGGGCUGAAGGGAAAACAAAUCAGGAUGUUCAUCUCAUAUUUCCACUUCCUUUCAGAGAGCUCAAUCUGAUGAAGGACCAAAAACUGAGUCUGAUGGAGCUUCUUCAUUUCUUUUUUAAAGAGAUGAAAGAAACAAACAUUUCCACUCUGCACAAAGUUCUGUUCAUUUUUGAUGGUUUGGAUGAGUGUCGUUUCCCUCUGGAUUUCCAGAACACAGUGAGAGUGUGUGAUGUAACUGAAUCAGCAUCAGUGAAUGUGCUGCUGAUAAACCUGAUCAAAGGGAAUCUGCUUCCCUCUGCUCUCAUCUGGAUCACCUCCCGACCUGCAGCAGCUGAUCAAAUCCCCUCUGAGUGGAUUAAUCGAGUCACAGAGGUACGAGGGUUCAAUGACCCACAGAAGGAGGAAUAUUUCAGGAAGAGGAUCAGAGAUCAGAGUCUGAGCAACAGAAUCAUCACACACCUGAAGUCAUUAAGAAGCCUCUACAUCAUGUGCCACAUCCCAGUCUUCUGCUGGAUUUCAGCCACUGUUCUAGAGAGAAUGUUGGGUGAAGCAGAGAGUGGAGAGAUCCCCAAGACUCUGACUCAAAUGUACACACACUUCCUCAUCAUUCAGACAAACAUCAUCAAGAAAAAGUACACAGAGAGCAGAGAGGCAGAUAAAGAAAUGGUUCUGAAACUGGGUAAACUGGCUUUCAGGCAGCUGAUGAAAGGAAACCUGAUCUUCUAUGAGGAAGACCUGAUGGAGUGUGGCAUUGGUGUGACAGAAGCAUCAGUGUAUUCAGGUGUGUGUACUCAGAUCUUCACAGAGGAGUUUGGACUUCACCAGAGUAAAGUGUACUGCUUUGUUCAUCUGAGCAUUCAGGAGCACCUCGCAGCUCUGUAUGUGCAUCUGACAUUCAUGAAUAAAAAGAAAAAUAUUCUUCAGAAAAGACUGUUUUCUAAAAUGUCCACACUGCUCAGAGAAAUUACAAUGUUAGAUCUACACAAGAGUGCUGUAGAUCAGGCUUUACAGAGGGAAAAUGGACAUCUGGAUCUGUUCCUUCGCUUUCUUCUGGGUCUCUCACUGGAGUCCAAUCCGAUCCUCUUACAAACCAUAGUGACACAGACAGGAAGUAGCUCUGACAGCAGACAGGAAACAGUUCAUUACAUCAAGAAGAAGAUCACAGAGAAUCCCUCACCAGAGAAAUCCAUCAAUCUGUUCCACUGUCUGAAUGAGCUGGAUGAUCAUUCUCUAGUUGAGGAAAUCCAACACUACCUGCAAUCAGGAAAUUUACAACAAAACAAACUUUCUUCUUCUCAGUGGUCAGCUGUGGUGUUUGUGUUACUGACAUCAGCACAGGAAGAGGAUGUGUUUGUCCUUAAGAAAUAUACCAACAAACACUGUACAUCAGACGAGGUUCUUCUGAAGCUCCUGCCUGUGGUUGCAGCAUCCAGAAAAGCUGAUUUUAAUAAUUGUGGCCUGAAAGAGGAGGGCUGUACAGCUUUAGCCUCAGUGCUCAGCUCUGAAUCCUCCAGUCUGAGAGAUCUGGAUCUGUCUGGGAAUAGAUUUAAAGACUCAGGAAUGAAGCGUCUCUCUGCUGGACUGGAGAAUCCUCACUGUAAACUGGACACACUGAGGUUGUAUAAUUGUGGUGUCUCAGAUGAAGCCUGUGCUGCUCUGACUUCAGCUCUGAGAUCAAACCCCUCACACCUGAGAGAACUGGAUCUGACUGGGAAUAAACUCAGAGACUCAGGAGUGAAGAGUCUCUCUGCUGUACUGGAGAAUCCUCACUGUAAACUGGAGACACUGAGGUUGUGUGAUUGUGAAAUCUCAGAUGUUGGCUGUGCUGCUCUGACUUCAGCUCUGAGAUCAAACCCCUCACACCUGAGAGAACUGGAUCUGUCUAGGAAUUAUCUCAGAGACUCAGGAGUGAAGAGUCUCUCUGCUGUACUGGAGAAUCCUCACUGUAAACUGGAGACACUGAGGUUGUAUAAUUGCGAUAUCUCAGAUGUUGGCUGUGCUGCUGUGACUUCAGCUCUGAGAUCAAACCCCUCACACCUGAGAAAACUGGAUCUGUCUUGGAAUUAUCUCAGAUACUCAGUAGUGAAGAGUCUCUCUGCUGUACUGGAGAAUCCUCACUGUAAACUGGAGACACUGAGGUUGUGUUUUUGUGAAAUCUCAGAUGAAGGCUGUGCUGCUCUGACUUCAGCUCUGAGAUCAAACCCCUCACACCUGAGAGAACUGGAUCUGUCUUGGAAUAAACUCAGAGACUCAGGAGUGAAGAGUCUCUCUGCUGUACUGGAGAAUCCUCACUGUAAACUGGAGACACUGAGGUUGAAGCUUUGCGAUAUCUCAGAUGAAGGCUGUGCUGCUCUGACUUCAGCUCUGAGAUCAAACCCCUCACACCUGAGAAAACUGGAUCUGACUGGGAAUAAACUCAGAGACUCAGGAGUGAAGAGUCUCUCUGCUGUACUGGAGAAUCCUCACUGUAAACUGGAGACACUGAGGUUGUGUUUUUGUGAAAUCUCAGAUGAAGGCUGUGCUGCUCUGACUUCAGCUCUGAGAUCAAACCCCUCACACCUGAGAAAACUGGAUCUGUCUUGCAAUGAUCUCAGAGACUCAGGAGUGAAUCUGCUGUUCAGUCUUAAAGAUGAUAAACGUUACAAACUGGAGAGACUGAGGGUAGGAAGUACUUCAUCUGAUGCAGACUCCAAUGAAGAAUCUUUUUGAUAAAUGCUCUUAAUGGACUCUAUGCACGACCCACUGCCUGUGUAUUUCCGCUAAAAUCUGUGGUAUCACUCCUGUCUUCCUCAUAGACCUGAAACAAGUCACUGUCGGAACCCAGAGCCCCUCUCCGGGUGGACACUUCAGGGUGGAUCUAGAGCCUUUCUCAAUUACCAAUAUUAUCAAAAAGUCUUGUAGUUCAGAUCAAAAAUGCAGGACAGAAACAAAGAAAUAAAGUACUCCUCCAGGCUUGGAUGAGAAGAAGCAACCGGUUUUAUUAAAAAAUAUCACUGGAAAUGGCACUCAGAUACACAGAGUCAUGAACCGAUGCAGUCAAGCACACCCCCCUUCACAAAUCCCCCAGUAUAUAUACCUUCCUGCCCAGCUGCCUAAACUUGCUGGGCUCUACUUUUCUAUGGAUUGUUUUGAUGUUCACUAAUUUCUCCCCCUGAAAAACAGCCCCACCUUUCUGUGGCCUUCAUACAGCCUAUGGGUCACAAGUUUUAAUUUUAACACGUAUUAGUUGUUGAUCUGUCUAAACUUCAGAACUUAUUUAGACCAAAACCACAUUUAUUUCAUUACCCCUUUAAUUUAUCACUCAUACUUUAACCUACAUAACCCACAUGUUCCAUAUGUUUGUGUACUUGUUUGUUGUUCCGGUGUGGUUCAUGGUGACUGCUGGGCAAUUACUUAAAAUCCUGAGGAUUUUUAUUUAAGGAUUAUUAUUAUUUAUAUAAGGAAAGGGUGCUGCCCUUAUUUUACUUCAGUUUUCACUCGUUGCCUAUGUGGUAGUAAAGGUAAAAGGGGGAAAAUGGCUCUGUGAUGUUAGUCUAGUUUUUUUUUAAUUUAGAUUAACUAACCUAGUUUACCUUUAACCUAUUUAUUUAGUCAUUUACGUAUUUUAUUAUUUAUGUAUUUAGGCUAGGAUUCCAGUUUAUUUUAAUCUAGUUUAAUUUAAUUCUCUAAAUCUUCCCUUGCUUCAUGUUUUUAAGUCUGUAUAUUUCCAUUACACCUAUUCAGCGUUUUCUCCCGAUGUUUUCAUUAACAUCAGCCACUACAAUAAUAUUUUGCUCGUUUCUCCUGGCGUUUCAAUAACAUCUUCUCCAAACCCCCUCCCGUCUCGGACCUAUUGUUUUGUUCUUACUUGUGCCACAAGGAGUUUUACCAACUUUCCACUUACUACGCUGUGACACUGGAUGGCUAUCCUCAGGCAGUGGAGUCCAGGAGUAUGUCCCCGGAUGAGGAGUCAACUUCCAGCAUAUCAGUGCACACGGAUGGUCUUGGGUAAUCCACAGACGUCCAGUCGCUUCGUAUCUGCCAUCAGCAUAAGGCAGGCCAAGCACCGGCCUCAACACAGCACACGUGGCAUGGUAACAUCUAUGCUGUGGGUCAUCUCUGUCGUCAUUCGCCAUAAUUCUGCACACAACACUUAAACAUAGAAACAGCGUAGACAGACAUGGACAUACAGAAAACAAGUAACAGAGUAGACAAAUAAACAAACAUCAUUAAAGUCUUUGAAUACUUGUCAGUUCUCAACUCCUUCUUCACUCUCGUCUAUCACCAAGGGACUUGAUUCCGAACUGUUGCCGGCCCUGCAACUGACAUAUGCAUUUGCAUUAACAUAUAACUGUAUAUGUAUAUACGUUUGACCACUCUGCUGUACACGUAAUCUCACGGCUCCACCUCACGUGGCUGUUCCUCCACCUCGGUGCCGUGUACAGCUUCGCCAACCUGCGAACACAAAGUUCUAUGGAUCUGGGUUAGCCGUUUUACAUUACUUGACAUUACACCGUCAAGCUGCUCCAAAGGUGGGCCCUUAUAGGGUCCCUGUGUGAAUGCUACUGGCAUUUCCAGUAACAUUACUGUCUGUUAACAUUUCAUGUGGAGUCAAAUGUGUGAUGCGGUUAGUCUGUGAUUGCAUUUUCAUCAAAGCAAGUGGCAAUGCUUGCACCCAGGUUAGAUUUGUACUCUUACAAAUCUUAGCUAUUUUUUCCCUGAUUCAAAAUUCCAUUUUGAUUCCAUUUUUCCUGGGGAUGAUAUACACACCCUAACUUGUGAUUUAUACACAAUGCUUCUGUGAUAGCUUUGAUUAUGGCAUUCACUAAGUGUGACCCAUUAUCGGAAUUAAUUUUAUCUGGAAUGCCAAAUCAUGGGAUUACUUCUCUGUCAUUUCACUACAACUUUUGCAUCAUUUUUGGCUGUUGCUACUGCUUCAACCCAUCUGCUAAACCGAUCCACCACAACUAAGAUAUAAUGCUUACCCUCUCGUCGUUCUGCCAUAUCAACAAAAUCCAUUACUAAAUGCCUGAAUGGACCUCUAGAUUCAGGUAUGUGGCUUAUGGGAGCUGUAAAAUGUUUACGUACAUGUCGUACUGCACACAAAUCACACUCACACAAUGGUUUAUUUACCACGCUUGCCAGAUAAAGUGACCACUUAUCUAUUUUCCGUGUUAUUGUUAUUAAUUCUGUCUUGCUGCAAUGAUCUAUACCUUGUGCUUCUUUUAUUAAUGCAGGGAGGAGGGAGAGCGAGGCCAUCAACAAACCAUUCGCACUUCUCCACACUCCAGUGUGGGUAUCUAGCAUCGCCCCCCUACUCCUCCACAUCUCUAACUCCUCUGGACUCGCUGUAUUUUGAUUCUCCUUGACUGCCUCUAGUGUCAUUUCUCCUGAUUCAGGAUCAGGCUCACCAGGUUGCAUCAAGGCCUUUACAAAUUCUUCUCUCAAAGCUGCUUUCUUCAGCAGCAGUAUUUCCUAUUAUUGGCCCAAACACAUGACACACUCCAAAUGCAUAUCCAGAAUCAUACAGUACAUAUCUUAUCUGCUCCUAGCUUACAUGCUAUGGUAAGAGCCUUUAUUUCUGCCAGUUGAGCUGAACACGGCUGAGGAACUGUUGCCGCACUAACCGUUAUAAAUUCUAUAUAUGUCUGCAUCAUACUGUACUACUGCAUAGCCAGCUCUAUUCCCUUUAUCAGUUUGAUAACAUGAACCAUCAACAAAGAAGACAAGCUGAGCCAACGCCAGAAGCUGUGUUUCUAAGUCAUCUCUUAAUCUCAGGAAUUUUCCAGAUUCUUCUGAACAAUUAUGCAGUAUUCCCUCUGUCGGUAACACUAUUUUAUCUGCAGGAUUAACAGUAGUGCACCUUUUAAUAGUUAACUCGGGUGCUGAGAGAAUUACUUCAUAGCCUGUGCAUCUGGCAUUAGUUAACACAAACGACUGACUUGUUAAUAACGCAUGUAAUGCAUGUGACAUGUAUAAUGUUAGUGGAUGACCCAUUGUGAUCGUGGAAGCUUUCUGAUACGCAAAUGCAGCUGCUGCUAUCGCACGAUAAGGAGGCAUACCCUUCUCUACGUUAUCUAAAGCUAUGCUACUCCUUCAGCUGUCCAAAUUAACGGUGCAGAAGUUUUUGUUUGGUUUACAUUUUUUAUCAUUUUUCGUGUGGUCCCUUCCAAAACUCGUCCCAAGUAUUCUACUUUUUCCAGACAGAAUAGCAGGUUUUCUUUACUCACUUUGUGCUCAUUUCGUGCGCGUAUUUGUAGUACUGUUACUGAAUCUUCCACGCACUGUGCUCUUGUUGGACUGCAGAUUAGAAUGUCGUCCACAAAGGUCAGGACUUUGCUUACAAAUUGCAGAUGAGCUAAAUCUUGUGUCAGCACUUGUUUAAAUAUUGAAGGACUUUCACAGUAUCCCUGUGGUAGUCCUGUAUACGUGUAUUGUUGGUUUUCAUAAGUAAAUGCGAAUAAUGGCUGAGACUCAGGAUGCACUAGAAUGCUGAAAAAUGCAGAAUAUAAAUCAAUUACUGUGUACCAUUUUGUGUCCUCUGGAAUUUUGGAAAGUAAUGUGUGUGGAUCCAGAACCACAGGAGUUUCCGCCAUCACCACCUGAUUUAUUGCCCGUAGACCAUGAACUAAUCGCCAUUUGUCUGAGUUGGGCUUCCUGAUCGGAAAAAUGGGGUGUUGCACCAGCUCUGAGUUGGAAUUAGUACCCCUGCUUCUCCUAAUCCCUCUAUCGUGGACUUUAUGCCCUCAGUAGCCUGCUGUGAUAGUGGGUAUUGCUUUUGAUAUGGCAAGUGAAUAUUGGGCUUCACCUGAACUCUAACUAAUCCUGAUGAUUUACUAAUCCUACAUCUACAGUGGGAUGUCUUGUCCAUAACUGCGCUGGAACUCUUGCUAACGCUUGCUCUUUUUCCUGGGGAGUAAGACCCUGCUCUUUCCCUAUCUGUGACAUCUGCAUCCCUACUUCCUCUCUGUUUCUGUUCUGAUCCUAAACUGAGCUACUAACUUGUUUGUCGACUGACUAACACACAGUACUACUGUAGUCACUUUUACUCUAAGAUAUCUUUUAUUCUACAGAUAUUUCUACAUUUGGGUUUCGUGUCUGCAUCCAGCCUUUCUGCUGAUAUACCUCUCUCAUCAUUGGCCCUAUAUCUUUUGAUUAAAAAUUCUGCCCAAUCAUGAAGGUGAUGUGGGGAGCUGCUUCUGAUAUUUAAUACCAGGUUUCCACAUUGUCUGAUAAUUUCACUCUAGCUGUAAUGCCUUGCCGGCCUACUUUUCUUGACUUGUUCAGGUUGUGGGCUGUAUGCGCUGGCACCUUUCUCGCCUUUGGACUCCGUAGUAAGUUUGUGCAAUGUUUGUUUAGCACCUUUAAGGAACUCUCCAGUAUCAUCUGGAAGUAACUGCGUUCUUGGCCUCUUCCCUUUCGGAUCUGGUUCAAUUGGGGUGCUGUAAGGCUGUGGCUGUAGCAGGAGUUGAUCUCCACUGGCCCAGUAUGCUCUUGAUUUUUCAUGUAAUUCCUCCUCCCAGUGAGGUGAGGGUUGCAGCUUGCUCUUUGCACCUCCUUGGCUUUAUGUUUUCCGUCGUGCCCCCUGACUGUCUGCUCUCAGAUGGCUGGGUUCACUUUCCCCCUCUGUUGUUCCACUUAUUUGUCCCAUUAAUAUGUCAACCUCCACUUCUUUAGGGCAUGGUAACACGGGGUAAAUUCCCAUUACGCCAGCAGGAGCAAAACCGUAAUUCACAUUAUAUGUAAUUCACAUUAUAUGGUGGUGGCCAUCCGUGCUUCCCACAUGAUGGGGCUUUUCCCUCCCUAUGCUGUUCCAGGUCCAGCAUUUCGUCUGCCAUACACUCUUUGCUCACAGAUUGUCCAUUUCUCUUUUAUUUUGGUCUCUCUAGUUCUCCUUUUUCAAACCACUGAAUAAUCUCCAGUUUCUUUUGUGUUUUUUCACUGGUUUCUCUCUUCAUUUCUCCCCAGCACUCUACCCUGGCUUUCAAUUUCCUGCAUUGUGUCACAUCAAAUGUUCCUUCUGCAGGCCACUGCAUUCCCCCGUUCUUCCGAUCAUGCCAUUUUUCAUAUAUUUUCUAAUGUCUUUACUUGCAACCGUGUGUCUCGCCAUUAUAAUUCCAGCAGGUGUGGAAAAACUCGUCUUGUUCACUGUGUGGCUCAGUGGGGUUAAAUGGAAAGUUUUGAAAGUUUAUGGGAAUCUUGAACUUGAGUUUUUGUUUAAACACGUCCCCUUUCACUGGUUCUGUUAUAAUGUAAUGAUAAAUAAGAUGUAUUACAAACCACAAAUAUGCUGUGAGCCACAAGCGUGUUAUAAUCUACAAAUGUGUAGUAAAUAUUGCUGUUGUGCUACACUUACAAACUUAACUGACAACAGGUAUGAUGAACGAGCGUAAAACACCUAUAUUAUAGAAUAAUAAAAUAAAAUAAUUAAAUAAGAUAAUAAACUUAAGGCACUACCCUGUAUGUCCCUAAUUACUUAAUUAACCACGCUAAUUAACCUUAUUAAUCAAUAGUAAGCAAGCAUGAGCAUCACUGUUUCUAGCAUUAGCAUUUCGCUACCAUUAGCAUUAGCUAAUCAGCUACCAGCUAUUACCAUCAACUACCAUUAGUUAGCCUCAACAUUUGCAUUAGCAUUGACCAACAUUAGCAAAAGGCUAAAAGGUUAAAUAGAGAAUAAUAGGUUAACCAGCUAAUGCUAGUGCUAACCAAGGUCAAAGGUUAUCUAGAAAGAAACAAUUUAAAAUUCCACCUAAGGCAUGGGAAAAAUCAACACCCUAAUUAAUACUAAUAAUAACCAGUAAUAAUUAAUCAAUAAUUAAUUAGCAACUCAAUUAUCCAACCAAUUAAUUGAUCAAUCAAGCAACCAAUCAAUUAACUAAGCAAUUAACUAAUCAAUGUAUUAAUAAUAAUAACUAACCAAUUAAUAAUUAAUCAUGUAAUAACAAUUAAUCAAUCAAUAACAAUACUUAAUAAUAUGCAGUAACCAAUAUGCAACACCAAUCGCCUUAAUAAAGAUAACCUGAAUAAUCAAUCAGCUCAGCAAUUUAUCAGCUCCUGAUUAACAGCACACUCCAACACAAUCCAGACAACCCAGAUAACCUAAAAGAACAAUUAUGGAAAUAAAAUACAGUAGUCAGAAGCAGUACUGUCAGAAUCCAGCCAACUCAGAGUUUGGUCAUGCAUCACACAUGUGCAGUCUAGCAAACGGAGCCUAGUAAUACUAUUAAUAAUGCACAAUUAGUAAUGUUCUGCUACUUAUCAUAGAAGAAUGAGGAACAUUUUUGUCAAUUGCAGAGACGUGUUUCUGUGACUAAUCACCGGACUAAAAACCAGGACUAAACACUUACUGAAGAUAAAUGAAUCGUUAUUAUUAUUAACACGUUUCCACAGUAAUCACAGUAAUUCUACAGUAUCAUGACUCUGGUUAAGGUUCUAGUUCAGUUCUCCAAAUGUUUAAAAACAUUUAGAAUUUUUUAUGGUAAGUUUUAAUAACAGAAGUGAGACAUGUAUAUAUCAGAAUACUAUGUUUUAUAAAAGUAUUAAAUGUCAAAACGAAAAGUCACAUGUAUCAGUAAGGAAGUGUUCAUUCAUAUGGCUACAGGGAUUAGUCUGAAUAAUUAGUCAUACAGAUUAUAAAAUAUUACAAGAGACUGUGGUGUUCUGUAAAUAAAUACACUUUAUAAUAACAUGAUCGUAUAUCACCACGUGCGGCACAAAUAAAACAAAAUUAACCCCAAAAGGGUGGUAGUUUAAUGCAGAACAGUAAAAGUAGUGUAUAAUGCAGUCUGUAAGAAACAGAGAUGAUUUCACAAUAACACAUCAGUGUAGAAGAGCAUCCAACAGAUCUGAGAGCAGUGAUGUUACAGUCUCUUUACAUGUUAAGAUUCCUCACAGUUUUAUUUUACAUUACUGAUUAAAAAAUACUGAAUAUUGUUCCAUUCAUUCACAUGAAUAAUCAACUACUGAAAUAUUACAUUUGUACAUCCUACUACACACACACGCAUGCACACACACACACGCAUGCACACACACACACA